rnacentral:lncRNA from 1 species
AGUGUUUGUGGUCAGAAACACAACAUGAAAUCAUUUGUCAGGGUGUGGAAACAGUUUGCACAUGAGGUUUUGUUCCUCCUUUACUUAACAAAUAAUCACAGCUUCCCAUUUUGGGUCCAGACAGACUAAUAUCACAUUAGAGAAGGUGUGUAGGAUGAAGCUUCUUGAGUUGGAUGACUCCAUCAGUCGUUUCAGGCUCGCCCAGUCAUGUUUGGGAUUAGCAGGUUGUUUAUGUGUGAGUUAUUCAGUCUGGACACCCUUCUGGCUGAAUAACAGGGGACUGUGGGCCGAGUGGAACAGGUCCAGAACUGAUCAGGAGAGCCACAAAAAGGUUUCUUCUUUUGAUGCUCUGGAAGCGGAGCAAGUGUUUGGGGUCCUGUCUUUCCUGAUGGCCUUGAGUACGGGCGCCCUGUGCCUCGUGUUCGCGCUUUCCUGGACGUCUGAGACGGUGCGUUCCUACUCCAACACUCGCUCUCUACUCAUGGCUGGACAGGCUCUGUACCCAACCACUCUGCUGCUACUCACAAUGGCCUCCACAGGUUUCUUUUUCCUCUUGUGUUGGUCAUUUUUCACCUACCAGCACCAUGAAGAAAUCCGCCAGGACUUCACUGGCCUUGGUGCCUCCUACUGGCUCGGCGCUCUGGGUUAUAUUCUACUGAUAGUCGUGGAGGUGAUAGUCUUUAUCGCAGAACAAAUUCUCGUGCCGGACAUUUUACCAGAUUUAGAAAAGGCUGUGGAAACGUGGCGAACUGCCUCCCAGUUUAAGGCUGCGAAACAAUCUUUCAGUGACAGUUAUUUCAAUGCUGCCCAAAGAUCAGAUGUGGCCCUCAGUAGAUUAAUGUCUGCAUCUUGACUUGAGCUUGAUCAGAGAAGUUAAUACAAGCGUACACCAACACUACAAUGUCACCCAUUAUUUGUUCAUUUGUUUAUUGUGAAAUAUAAUUGCAAUAAAAACUAUAAACGACAAUAAAAAUCCUGAACA